rnacentral:rRNA from 1 species
CGUCAAGUCAUCAUGGCCCUUAUGUCCAGGGCUACACACGUGCUACAAUGGCGUCUACAAAGGGAGGCGAAGUCGUGAGGCUUAGCAAACCCCAAAAAAGACGUCUCAGUUCGGAUUGUAGUCUGCAACUCGACUACAUGAAGCUGGAAUCGCUAGUAAUCGCAAAUCAGCAUGUUGCGGUGAAUACGUUCUCGGGCCUU